AUUGAACGCUAGCGGGAUGCUUUACACAUGCAAGUCGAACGAGUGGCGGACGGGUGAGUAAUGUAUGGGCACUGCCUGAUCGAGGGGGCUAACUACUGGAAACGGUAGCUAAUACCGCAUACUGUCGUAUAACCCAUAUGGGAUUAGCUAGUAGGUGGGGUAUUGGCUCACCUAGGCGACGAUCCCUAGCUGGUCUGAGAGGCUGAUCAGCCACACUGGGACUGAGAAACGGCCCAGACUCCUACGGAGGCAGCAGUGGGGAAUAUUGCACAAUGGGCGAAAGCCUGAUGCAGCCAUGCCGCGUGUAUGAAGAAGGCCCUAGGGUUGUAAAGUACUGUCAGUCGGGAGGCGUUACCGACAGAAGAAGCACCGGCUAACUCCGUGCCAGCAGCCGCGGUAAUUC
rnacentral:rRNA from 1 species